CGACUCAAAGGUUGUCGAGCAUCAUCAGCCAUUUGGAGUUCUUCUCCAUUUGAACCUGUGCCUUCCAUGUCCCCCUUUCCUUCAUUGUAUCUAUUGGUCAUCUGCAUCAUAUUUUUCUCCUGUUUGAGUUUCCAACCCUCAACCCUCUCCUUCCAGUCAACAUUACCGAGGCCAUAAGUAUGCAAGUCCUUAGUCGGGUCCACAAUUCUAACAGGAACUGGCUGCCUUGGAUCAAUAUAAGGAGAUGAGUUAACAUUCUUUUCAGGAGGGCCCAAAGGCCCAGAUGUAGUUCGCACAGAUUGGGUGUCAGGUGUAGCACAGGGAAUUUCACCAGAAACCGGCUGCCCAUUCGUGAGAAGGGGAAUUGGCUGUUGUGACUCAUGCCUGGAUGAUGACGAAAGUUCUACAUCUUCACCCUGCCAUUGGCGUAUAGUCUUGCCAUUGCCUUGUGCAUAAUUGAAUUCAUUCUCUAGAUCAUCAACAUCAUCUUCAUCCUCGUCUCCCUCCACCCGAGGACUCCCUUUGUGCCUUUUGUACCUCGGGACAAGACUGAGUCCCAUCUUUCCGCUCAUACUCAUAACAAGGACGGCAAAUUGGGAAGGCACACUCAUUGCAAGCAACAAAUGUGUCACCACUGGCAGUCAGUCNUUCACCACAUAUCUGACAGGUUUGGCCAUUCAAAUUCUUGAGGGGUUUUGGCCCACUAUCGGAAUCAUGGCGAAUCCGAACCAACUCGUUCCUCCGGUAGGAACCUGCCACCAUGCCUGCAUUUGCUUCCAUGGUGGUGUGGAUCGUCCAGGUUUCUCAAAACAGAAAGAGAUCUGAUCUUGAUGAAAACGGUAUUGAAAAACAAAGAGGGUAAUGAUACGUCUGUUAACUCUUCGCGUCGCCCACUCAAUAAGCCAUCUCCGUCGGCUUACUCCUUCCAGCAAUCACUUUAGC
rnacentral:misc_RNA from 1 species